rnacentral:tRNA from 1 species
GAAAUAUAAUGUCCAAAUUAAAGCUGCUAACUUUAAAAAUAGCGGUUUAAUUCCGUUAAUAUUUCU